rnacentral:rRNA from 3 species
GGUUAAGCGACUAAGCGUACACGGUGGAUGCCCUGGCAGUCAGAGGCGAUGAAGGACGUGCUAAUCUGCGAUAAGCGUCGGUAAGGUGAUAUGAACCGUUAUAACCGGCGAUUUCCGAAUGGGGAAACCCAGUGUGUUUCGACACACUAUCAUUAACUGAAUCCAUAGGUUAAUGAGGCGAACCGGGGGAACUGAAACAUCUAAGUACCCCGAGGAAAAGAAAUCAACCGAGAUUCCCCCAGUAGCGGCGAGCGAACGGGGAGCAGCCCAGAGCCUGAAUCAGUGUGUGUGUUAGUGGAAGCGUCUGGAAAGGCGCGCGAUACAGGGUGACAGCCCCGUACACAAAAAUGCACAUGCUGUGAGCUCGAUGAGUAGGGCGGGACACGUGGUAUCCUGUCUGAAUAUGGGGGGACCAUCCUCCAAGGCUAAAUACUCCUGACUGACCGAUAGUGAACCAGUACCGUGAGGGAAAGGCGAAAAGAACCCCGGCGAGGGGAGUGAAAAAGAACCUGAAACCGUGUACGUACAAGCAGUGGGAGCACGCUUAGGCGUGUGACUGCGUACCUUUUGUAUAAUGGGUCAGCGACUUAUAUUCUGUAGCAAGGUUAACCGAAUAGGGGAGCCGAAGGGAAACCGAGUCUUAACUGGGCGUUAAGUUGCAGGGUAUAGACCCGAAACCCGGUGAUCUAGCCAUGGGCAGGUUGAAGGUUGGGUAACACUAACUGGAGGACCGAACCGACUAAUGUCGAAAAAUUAGCGGAUGACUUGUGGCUGGGGGUGAAAGGCCAAUCAAACCGGGAGAUAGCUGGUUCUCCCCGAAAGCUAUUUAGGUAGCGCCUCGUGAAUUCAUCUCCGGGGGUAGAGCACUGUUUCGGCAAGGGGGUCAUCCCGACUUACCAACCCGAUGCAAACUGCGAAUACCGGAGAAUGUUAUCACGGGAGACACACGGCGGGUGCUAACGUCCGUCGUGAAGAGGGAAACAACCCAGACCGCCAGCUAAGGUCCCAAAGUCAUGGUUAAGUGGGAAACGAUGUGGGAAGGCCCAGACAGCCAGGAUGUUGGCUUAGAAGCAGCCAUCAUUUAAAGAAAGCGUAAUAGCUCACUGGUCGAGUCGGCCUGCGCGGAAGAUGUAACGGGGCUAAACCAUGCACCGAAGCUGCGGCAGCGACGCUUAUGCGUUGUUGGGUAGGGGAGCGUUCUGUAAGCCUGCGAAGGUGUGCUGUGAGGCAUGCUGGAGGUAUCAGAAGUGCGAAUGCUGACAUAAGUAACGAUAAAGCGGGUGAAAAGCCCGCUCGCCGGAAGACCAAGGGUUCCUGUCCAACGUUAAUCGGGGCAGGGUGAGUCGACCCCUAAGGCGAGGCCGAAAGGCGUAGUCGAUGGGAAACAGGUUAAUAUUCCUGUACUUGGUGUUACUGCGAAGGGGGGACGGAGAAGGCUAUGUUGGCCGGGCGACGGUUGUCCCGGUUUAAGCGUGUAGGCUGGUUUUCCAGGCAAAUCCGGAAAAUCAAGGCUGAGGCGUGAUGACGAGGCACUACGGUGCUGAAGCAACAAAUGCCCUGCUUCCAGGAAAAGCCUCUAAGCAUCAGGUAACAUCAAAUCGUACCCCAAACCGACACAGGUGGUCAGGUAGAGAAUACCAAGGCGCUUGAGAGAACUCGGGUGAAGGAACUAGGCAAAAUGGUGCCGUAACUUCGGGAGAAGGCACGCUGAUAUGUAGGUGAGGUCCCUCGCGGAUGGAGCUGAAAUCAGUCGAAGAUACCAGCUGGCUGCAACUGUUUAUUAAAAACACAGCACUGUGCAAACACGAAAGUGGACGUAUACGGUGUGACGCCUGCCCGGUGCCGGGAGGUUAAUUGAUGGGGUUAGCGCAAGCGAAGCUCUUGAUCGAAGCCCCGGUAAACGGCGGCCGUAACUAUAACGGUCCUAAGGUAGCGAAAUUCCUUGUCGGGUAAGUUCCGACCUGCACGAAUGGCGUAAUGAUGGCCAGGCUGUCUCCACCCGAGACUCAGUGAAAUUGAACUCGCUGUGAAGAUGCAGUGUACCCGCGGCAAGACGGAAAGACCCCGUAAACCUUUACUAUAGCUUGACACUGAACAUUGAGCCUUGAUGUGUAGGAUAGGUGGGAGGCUUUGAAGUGUGGACGCCAGUCUGCAUGGAGCCGACCUUGAAAUACCACCCUUUAAUGUUUGAUGUUCUAACGUUGACCCGUAAUCCGGGUUGCGGACAGUGUCUGGUGGGUAGUUUGACUGGGGCGGUCUCCUCCUAAAGAGUAACGGAGGAGCACGAAGGUUGGCUAAUCCUGGUCGGACAUCAGGAGGUUAGUGCAAUGGCAUAAGCCAGCUUGACUGCGAGCGUGACGGCGCGAGCAGGUGCGAAAGCAGGUCAUAGUGAUCCGGUGGUUCUGAAUGGAAGGGCCAUCGCUCAACGGAUAAAAGGUACUCCGGGGAUAACAGGCUGAUACCGCCCAAGAGUUCAUAUCGACGGCGGUGUUUGGCACCUCGAUGUCGGCUCAUCACAUCCUGGGGCUGAAGUAGGUCCCAAGGGUAUGGCUGUUCGCCAUUUAAAGUGGUACGCGAGCUGGGUUUAGAACGUCGUGAGACAGUUCGGUCCCUAUCUGCCGUGGGCGCUGGAGAACUGAGGGGGGCUGCUCCUAGUACGAGAGGACCGGAGUGGACGCAUCACUGGUGUUCGGGUUGUCAUGCCAAUGGCACUGCCCGGUAGCUAAAUGCGGAAGAGAUAAGUGCUGAAAGCAUCUAAGCACGAAACUUGCCCCGAGAUGAGUUCUCCCUGACCCUUUAAGGGUCCUGAAGGAACGUUGAAGACGACGACGUUGAUAGGCCGGGUGUGUAAGCGCAGCGAUGCGUUGAGCUAACCGGUACUAAUGAACCGUGAGGCUUAACCU